rnacentral:misc_RNA from 1 species
AACCUAGCACACCUGCGGUGUGUACCUGCGGAGGGAUCAUUACCGAGUUUACAAACUCCCAACCCUUUGCGAACCUUACCAUAUUGUUGCUUCGGCGGGACCGCCCCGGCGCCUUCGGGCCCGGAACCAGGCGCCCGCCGGAGGCCCCAAACUCUUAUGUCUUUAGUGGUUUUCUCCUCUGAGUGACACAUAAACAAAUAAAUAAAAACUUUCAGCAACGGAUCUCAGAUCGGAAGAGCA